CCGGAUUUAUUGGGUUUAAAGGGUGCGUAGGCGGGGCUGUAAGUCAGGGGUGAAAUACUGCAGCUUAACUGUAGCAUCGCCUUUGAAACUGCCGUUCUUGAGUACAGUUGAGGUAGGCGGAAUGUGGUGUGUAGCGGUGAAAUGCAUAGAUAUACCACAGAACGCCGAUUGCGAAGGCAGCUUACUAAGCUGUUACUGACGCUGAGGCACGAAAGCGUGGGGAUCAAACAGGAUUAGAUACCCUGGUAGUCCACGCUGUAAACGAUGAUUACUGGUUGUUAGCGAUAUAUAGCUAGUGACUGAGCGAAAGCAUUAAGUAAUCCACCUGGGGAGUACGUCGGCAACGAUGAAACUCAAAGGAAUUGACGGGGGCCCGCACAAGCGGAGGAACAUGUGGUUUAAUUCGAUGAUACGCGAGGAACCUUACC
rnacentral:rRNA from 1 species